UACAGAGGUCUCAAGCGUUGUUCGGAUUCAUUGGGCGUAAAGCGCACGUAGGCGGCGCAGCAAGUUGGGGGUGAAAUCCCGAGGCUCAACCUCGGAAUUGCCUUCAAAACUGCUGUGCUCGAGUUCGGAAGAGGUGAGUGGAAUUCCCAGUGUAGAGGUGAAAUUCGUAGAGAUUGGGAAGAACACCAGUGGCGAAGGCGGCUCACUGGUCCGCAACUGACGCUGAGGUGCGAAAGCGUGGGGAGCAAACAGG
rnacentral:rRNA from 1 species